CAAUGAGUCCCACAAAUAUGUAAAGUCAGCUGUUGAGUCUCUGCCAGGAUCCCGGGCAUCCCUUAUUGGGUCGAUGCUUGGUGUGUAGUGGGUGCCUUUGUGGGACAGUGGCCUCACAGAGCGACCCUUCCCCCAAGGCAAGCUCAGCCAAAGGCUUCCACGGGAGCAUGAAGAACCAGGAAGGGUACCUGGAGGAAGAACGCAGGCCCAGGGAAGGAUAUUAGGCUACGAUGGCCAGCUUAUACAAGGGACAUGGAAGGAGGAAGCUUUUUCUCCCUUCUCCUGCCUUCCCUUGCUCUUGCUGGCAAGGCUGUUCCUCCACUGGCAUCAGAGCCCAGUUCUUCCGGAUUCUGGCACAUACUGAAGACCAGCUGAGACAUCCAGCCUCGUGCACUGAACAACGGCCGCACACUCCUACCACUGCGCCUGCCCCUCCUUGAUGGAUGUCAUACCUUCAAACUGCAAGCCAAAAUAAACCUUAAGUUGCAUCUGCAACAGGAGAGUCGUCUGUGAUUUUCACUGUAAAGGCUAAGAGCAUGAGAAGAUAACCAAGCCGGCCUGGAAUCUUCAAACGGCCUCAACACUCUCCCCCACCAACCCACCAAGCGUGAGCCGUUGGGGUGGGGGUGGCAGUGGGGGGAGGACUUCUCACCAGCUGCGGAGAUCAACAGCCCUUCAUCCAAAUGACUCUAGAAGCAUCGGAGACAACAUGCAUUUGCAUUCAGCAGCAAAGCCCCCUGAGUUUUCCUUCUGCAAACCAGGCAAAUGAAGCCACGAACGCACUCCGUGCUCCUAAAUAUUUUAUAGAUGAGCGGAGAGCGAAUAACUUGGCACCUAGUCUGCCAUGGCGAUCCCUGAAAAGAGAUUUCUCCUGGCUUUUCUUAGAGGAUAGAUGAGCAAGCUCCUUUAAAUGUGCCUCUCUCAUCCCCAGACCCCUCAUCACCAAUAAAGAAAGUGAAAAAGACAAGUGCCUUGAUUGUGGAUGGAAAGACAAAUGCCAGGCCUGUUGAACAUUCACACUUGGCCUGACUUUGUUUUGCCCUUCACCUGCCACAUGCUAUCACCUGUCUGCAAAAUAAAAGGUUCUGCUCACCCUUCCCACCUAACUUGAGACCAGUGUUUUGGAGGAAGGAGGGGAUGAUGAAUGGUUGGGAAAAAAUUGAGGGGUGGUGAAUUUGGGGGUGAAUUUUGGAGAUCAGAC